CUCUAACGAGCCAGAAUUAAUCUAUUCCCAUAGAUUAAGAGUGCAUUUGUAGGGUUCAGCUUUAUUCCUGCGAGGGUGGUGACACCUUUCAAAAAUUAAAAUGAAGUGAGAAGGCUUAGUAGGGAAACCGAAAAGCUUUUUUACUA
rnacentral:ncRNA from 1 species